UUGUAGGUUAGUUUAUUAUGUAAUGUGUUAUUUAUACAGUUAUUCGUGUUGUAAAUAAAUUAUUUAACAUAAAAUAGCAAAAAUUGUCAGUUAAGAGUAAAUGCCAAUUAGCAGUUUUACUGCUGCAUCUAUCAUUGUGUUUCUGCAACUACAGACAAUGGAAAAACUGUGAUAGAUAGCAAGCUAUUAAAUAUCGAACCAGCUCUACCAUCAAGGCAAACUGCUAAAAGAUUGUUGAAAAAGUCUCACAGUACUUUAUCUUCUUAUGUAGAAAAAAAUCAAAAUGCUAAUUGGACAUCCAAUGAAACUAAUUUUAAUAACUGCACAGAUGGCUCAGUACGUGUAUCACGGACUACUAAAGAAAAGGAAGAAAAUCCAGACCGAAUGUGUUUAGAUAGAAAAGGCCUAACCGUCAUUCCCUUUAUAGAAGAUGAACCCAAAUUAAGACUGUUGUCAUUACAGCACAAUUUAAUAAAUAGUUUGGAAACCUUUAAAUUACAAAACUUCCCAAAUUUAGUAUUUUUAGAUAUUUAUGAUAAUCAGUUAGACAAGAUAAACGGACUAGAUAUGUUCACAAAUUUGAGGGUGUUGUUAAUGGGAAAAAAUAGAAUAAAAAGAAUGGAAGGAUUAACAAAUUUAACUAAAUUGGAAGUGCUGGACCUACAUGGCAAUAAAAUAACCCACAUAGCAGGUUUGACAAAACUCACCCAACUAAAAGUUUUGAAUUUAGCUGGAAAUCAAAU